rnacentral:rRNA from 1 species
AGAGUUUGAUCAUGGCUCAGGACGAACGCUGGCGGCGUGCUUAACACAUGCAAGUCGAACGAGGCGCUUGCGCCUAGUGGCGAACGGGUGAGUAACACGUGAGCAACCUGCCCUUGGCUCUGGGAUAGCCUCCGGAAACGGGGAUUAAUACCGGACAUGACCUUCUCCUGCAUGGGGGAGGGUGGAAAGUUUUUCGGCCAGGGAGGGGCUCGCGGCCUAUCAGCUUGUUGGGGGGGUAACGGCCCACCAAGGCGACGACGGGUAGCCGGCCUGAGAGGGCGACCGGCCACACUGGGACUGAGACACGGCCCAGACUCCUACGGGAGGCAGCAGUGGGGAAUAUUGCACAAUGGGGGAAACCCUGAUGCAGCGACGCCGCGUGCGGGAUGAAGGCCUUCGGGUUGUAAACCGCUUUCAGCAGGGGCGAAUUCAGACGGUACCUGCAGAAGAAGCGCCGGCUAACUACGUGCCAGCAGCCGCGGUAAUACGUAGGGCGCGAGCGUUGUCCGGAAUUAUUGGGCGUAAAGAGCUCGUAGGCGGCCUGUUGCGUCCGCUGUGAAAUCCCAGGGCUUAACCCUGGGCCUGCAGUGGAUACGGGCAGGCUAGAGGCAGGCAGGGGAGAACGGAAUUCCCGGUGUAGCGGUGAAAUGCGCAGAUAUCGGGAGGAACACCGGUGGCGAAGGCGGUUCUCUGGGCCUGUUCUGACGCUGAGGAGCGAAAGCGUGGGGAGCAAACAGGAUUAGAUACCCCCGUAGUCC